UGCAUCCUUAAUCGACAUACAAAAAUAAGUUAUAAAUCAAGCAGUUAAGCAAAUUAAAUCACAACUCAUAAAUCACAACUGAAGGUAAUCAAUUCAUAUUACAAAUAUAUUCAUGGCUUUGAAUUAACCUCUAGCCAAAAUAAAUUAGUUACACAUUAUUAAAACAAAAAUAAAACAUAAGUUUGGAAAGAUUUAACCGACAGAUAAGGCAGCUUGCUGAUUCUCUUCUUCUCCUCCCCGAGGCUCACACUGCUUCUGCCCUCAGUCCCCCUGACUUCCUUCCGUGCUGCUCCCCGCGCUUUUGCUCUCAGCUGCCAAGGCAGCCUUUCACGCUGCCAGCUAUCCUCACCUCCCUGUACGUGUCACUUCUCUCCCCCUGCGUCUCUGCGAGCUGCCCAAAGGGCAGCCCCUCUCUUUUCUCCGCUUUCUGCACGCCCCCCCUUUCUUAUGCUGCCUUCUCCUCGUUAUAUCCCGCACCUUCUUUUUAUUUUUUAUUCCAUCCCAUUUUCUUUUCUGACCUGUUCUCCAUUUGUCAAGAUAGCCCACUUCUUCUGUGUCUCCCGCACUCCUCUCUUUCUUUUAUUCUCACGCUGCCAACCCCACUAUGCAGUGCUUUCUCCUUUUUCCCGCAAGUCUGCCCG
rnacentral:lncRNA from 1 species